UAAGCUUUCAAUUUGCUCUGAAACUUGGCUAAUCGAGUUGCUCGUAGAUGUUCGUCGCUGUGUUUGACACCGCAUUCGAACUGCUUCCACGGAUUGUGGGCAGCCUGGAUUUACCUUGGCUGAAAGAAAACGACUUGGUAGUUGGUACUAGGAUUAAGAGAGAUUGGAUUCUUCCUUUCACUCAAAGUUGUGACACAGAAAGUUGCAGUCUAUCUAACUUGAUGAUGAGAUAGAUUGUAUGGAUCCAUUUGAUGUUUGUUCUGUCAUAUAGCAUUUGGUACAAUUUGUAAUGCUUGAUUUAUAAUCAAUUUUCAUAGAAAAAUGAUUAUUGAGAAAAAGUACAUUCCGAAGUUUAGUACCAAAAUUUCUGCACAAGAAUAACUACAUGGAGCUAAGUUAUCAUGGUCUGGAAAUCCAGUUGGAAAGUAAGAAUUUGAUUUUAUUGAGUUUUAUACUGUGUCAAUUGAUUCUCAACAUUAAUGCUUCUUAAAAAUUAAACGGGUGAUUACAUGAAGCACUUGACUCGGGAGUCAUCUCAUAAAGCAUCUGACUCGUUUUAUCAAGACAUCAAAUCCUAAUCUCAUGUUGGAAAACAUGGCUCGUUUUCUUUGUGAGUUGGGAGUGAUGCAUUAUGCCACCUUUAAGUAUUGCCCAUCAAUGGUUGUUGCCUCAGCUCAACAAUCUUUGCAGCAAGAUGCACUCUGAAUAAGAGCCCCAUUUAGAAUGAGACUCUUAAGCUACACACUGGUUACUCAGAAGAAGAACUUAUGGUCCGUGCUAAACUACUGGUGAACUUUCACUCUUCUGUUGUUGGGAAUGGAAAGCAUAAGGCUGUGUGCAGGAAGAACUCUGAUCCUAGGAGAGGGUUUGUUGCAGUGCUUCCACCUGCUAAAGUUCUUCUCCCUGAAAGUUCUAUCUCAAUUUGCCCAAAACAUUUUUAGAGUUUU